rnacentral:rRNA from 1 species
AACGAACGCUGGCGGCAGGCUUAACACAUGCAAGUCGAACGAGAUCUUCGGAUCUAGUGGCAGACGGGUGAGGAACACGUGGGAACAUCCCUUUCAGUUCGGAAUAACGUUGGGAAACUAACGCUAAUACCGGAUACGUCCUUCGGGAGAAAGAUUUAUCGCUGAAAGAUUGGCCCGCGUCUGAUUAGCUAGUUGGUGAGGUAAUGGCUCACCAAGGCUACGAUCAGUAGCUGAUCUGAGAGGAUGAUCAGCCAAAUUGGGACUGAGACACGGCCCAAACUCCUACGGGAGGCAGGAGUGGGGAAUAUUGGACAAUGGGCGCAAGCCUGAUCCAGCCAUGCCGCGUGAGUGAUGACGGCCUUCGGGUUGUAAAGCUCUUUUGUCCGGGAAGAUAAUGACUGUACCGGAAGAAUAAGCCCCGGCAAACUUCGUGCCAGCAGCCGCCGUAA